GUUUAGGGAUUAUUGCCAGGGAGAUGUAUGUAUGUGGGCUGCUUCACAGUUUUUGCCAGGGCUGCUUUUAACUCCCAGUCCGGCCCUGGUGUCAGUGAUGUGAGAGGGAUGUUGGUUGGUGUUUUGCAUAGAGACAUUGUGUGGCUAAACUGCAGCUGCUAUAAAAGUGCCAGUGUCCCUGUGCCAUAUUAAUGAUCUGUAUGUGUCACAGUGCAUAGAUAGAGACAUGUCUUAUCCCACUUAUCUACUGCUGCUGCUGCUACUGGGGAUCCUCCUGAUCUUUAGCCAGGGUUCCUAUGGACUGGUUGUGAUGACUCAGUCUCCAGAUUAUGUCUCUGUGUCACCAGGAGAAACUGUCACCCUCACAUGUAAAGCCAGUAGCAGUGUUACUGACAGCAAUGGAGACAAUCGGAUAGCCUGGUUCCAUCAGAAAUCAGGGCAGGCACCAAAGCAGCUGAUCUAUUUGGCAAGCACUCGACACACAGGGACCCCAGAGCGGAUCAGUGGCAGUGGGUCUGAAAUUGAUUUCACUCUUACAAUCAGCAGAAUGGAAGCAGAAGAUGCAGCAGAUUAUUAUUGUCUGCAGUAUGGUUGGUUCCCUCUCACACAGUGAUACAGAGCUGAACAAAAACCUUCCUCUUUCAGCUUGAAUGCAGAUCAGACUAAAACAUAACUCAGGACUCACUGUACCAGAAGAUUGUUGACUUUAUACUCUGUACUUUAUACUAUA